rnacentral:rRNA from 1 species
GACGAACCGUGCGAACGUUGUUCGGAAUCACUGGGCUUAAAGGGAGCGUAGGCGGGCUAUCAAGUCUGGAGUGAAAUCCCACGGCUCAACCGUGGAACUGCCUCAGAUACUGACGGCCUCGAGGGAGGUAGGGGCGUGCGGAACUGUGAGUGGAGCGGUGAAAUGCGUUGAUAUUCACAGGAACUCCGGUGGCGAAGGCGGCGCGCUAGACCUCUUCUGACGCUGAGGCUCGAAAGCUAGGGGAGCAAACGGG